UCCGGUUUAUCACCGGCAGUCGUCCUGUGCAUGUCAAACCCAGGUAAGGUUCUUCGCGUUGCAUCGAAUUAAUCCACAUGCUCCGCCGCUUGUGCGGGCCCCCGUCAAUUCCUUUGAGUUUUAGCCUUGCGGCCGUACUCCCCAGGCGGGGUACUUAAUGCGUUAGCUACGGCACGGAUCCCAAGGAGGGAAACCCACACCUAGUACCCACCGUUUACGGCGUGGACUAC
rnacentral:misc_RNA from 1 species